AUUGGGCGUAAAGCGAGCGCAGGCGGAAAAAUAAGUCUGAUGUGAAAGCCCUCGGCUUAACCGAGGAACUGCAUCGGAAACUGUUUUUCUUGAGUGCAGAAGAGGAGAGUGGAACUCCAUGUGUAGCGGUGGAAUGCGUAGAUAUAUGGAAGAACACCAGUGGCGAAGGCGGCUCUCUGGUCUGCAACUGACGCUGAGGCUCGAAAGCAUGGGUAGCGAACAGGAUUAGAUACCCUGGUAGUCCAUGCCGUAAACGAUGAGUGCUAAGUGUUGGGAGGUUUCCGCCUCUCAGUGCUGCAGCUAACGCAUUAAGCACUCCGCCUGGGGAGUACGACCGCAAGGUUGAAACUCAAAGGAAUUGACGGGGGCCCGCACAAGCGGUGGAGCAUGUGGUUUAAUUCGAAGCAACGCGAAGAACCUUACCAGGUCUUGACAUCUAGUGCAAUCUGUAGAGAUACGGAGUUCCCUUCGGGGACGCUAAGACAGG
rnacentral:rRNA from 1 species